GAUUAAAUUCAAUCCAAUGGCUUGCAACGUUUUGAACACACACAAUACAGAUCUCUUUGUCAACACAGAUCCCCUCUCUCUCUCUCUCUCACACACACAAACACUCCUCUUUCAAAUUUUGAAAACAGACGCUUAGAAUCUCUCUCUCUCUACAUCACUGUCUUCAUCUUCUCUCUUCCUUCAUCCCUCAGAACCGCCACAAUAAACCCAUCUCAAUUCCUUUGAACCGCCCCAAAAUUCUUUAACUUCGCCGGUGGCUGAAUCCGAGCUCUACAACUAGCGUGGCUCUGGCACAGAGGUAAUGAAUUUCUCUCAAUCAUCCAAAAACCAAAGUCAGAUCUGUGAACCCUCCUCCAAAUCCACAGAGAUUGAUUCAAUCCAACGGCUAAAAAAUGUCCAAGAGGCAAAUACAUUUUCAAUGGUGGAUUUACAAUGGUGAGGAAAAAAAUGUCCAAUAGACCAAUACAUUUUCUGAUUAGGUUUCUUCUUCCCUUCCAUCUCUCUCUCUCUCUCUCUCUCUCUCUCUCUCUCUCAUUCAAAAUUUAAAAGUGAGUUGUCUCCAUCAUCUUACUCUCAGAGCUCACUCUUCAUCUUCAAUCUCCCCCGAAACAUAGUAGAUCGGCGACUUCGCAGGGGUGCUAAUCGGCAACUUCGCAUUGGAGAGUUUGUUGGGUGCUAAUCGGCGACAUCGCGGCAACAAAUCAGUGAGGCUGCAGAAGCUUUGAUUGUGUGAUGGUAAUUUUGUGUCUGUCAAAAGAUGGAUUUCCACAGGUAAGACUUCGAACUCGCUGUACAGUAUUUUUUCCCGAUCGUUGUUGUUGAUUAUGUUGUGUUUUUCCCUUUCUCUGCUCUUGCCGGAAAGGUGACUACUACCGGUAUCUCGCUGAGUUUAAGACUGACCAGGAAAGAAAAGAGAUUAUUCUUAUGAGAUUAUCUUGCUGGUAUCCAACUUCUCUGUCUUCUAUUAUGAGAUUAUGAAUUCUCUUGAGAGGUACAUAUGCCUUGGCUUGAAGGAGUGUUUGAUUAGCUCAUAAAAGUUGUUGUGACUUUGUUUGCCGCAAUGGUUGAUUAGGGAUAGAAACUCAAAGGAGCAUGAUCAUCCAAAAAUAGAUACUUCGCACAAGGUAAGCUUUAAUUGUUUAAAAUUUUAAUUUUGUUUGGUUUUACAACCUUCAAAAAUUCUUCUUCCUUAUAACAAGACUCUCUUAGUCGUAAUAAAGAAAAUUAUUUGCUCCCCUUACAAAAUUUGAGUUUAAUUCUAUUUGGAGGUUUGUAUGAUUUAUCGGCAUUCUCAAUUGAUCCUUCUAUACUAUUAUUUGCUUUUCUAUAUAACAUGGAAGCUCAGUUUUUUAUUCUUGAUGGGACUUUUGUCCCUUUGUCAAUACAUGGACCAUUAGAUUAAAUUCAAUCCAAUGGCUUGCAACGUUUUGAACACACACAAUACAGAUCUCUUUGUCAACACAGAUCCCCUCUCUCUCUCUCUCUCACACACACAAACACUCCUCUUUCAAAUUUUGAAAACAGACGCUUAGAAUCUCUCUCUCUCUACAUCACUGUCUUCAUCUUCUCUCUUCCUUCAUCCCUCAGAACCGCCACAAUAAACCCAUCUCAAUUCCUUUGAACCGCCCCAAAAUUCUUUAACUUCGCCGGUGGCUGAAUCCGAGCUCUACAACUAGCGUGGCUCUGGCACAGAGGUAAUGAAUUUCUCUCAAUCAUCCAAAAACCAAAGUCAGAUCUGUGAACCCUCCUCCAAAUCCACAGAGAUUGAUUCAAUCCAACGGCUAAAAAAUGUCCAAGAGGCAAAUACAUUUUCAAUGGUGGAUUUACAAUGGUGAGGAAAAAAAUGUCCAAUAGACCAAUACAUUUUCUGAUUAGGUUUCUUCUUCCCUUCCAUCUCUCUCUCUCUCUCUCUCUCUCUCUCUCUCUCUCAUUCAAAAUUUAAAAGUGAGUUGUCUCCAUCAUCUUACUCUCAGAGCUCACUCUUCAUCUUCAAUCUCCCCCGAAACAUAGUAGAUCGGCGACUUCGCAGGGGUGCUAAUCGGCAACUUCGCAUUGGAGAGUUUGUUGGGUGCUAAUCGGCGACAUCGCGGCAACAAAUCAGUGAGGUUCUCCAAAAUCUUUUGUUUGAGGUUCUCCAGAAUCUGUAAAUUAAUAAUAGUUGCACUUUAUAACAUUACCAAUUUUUUUUGAGCGUCUCUGUAAGCCAAUAAAGUUGUAUCUGAUCAUAUUAUGUUUGAUGGUAAUUUUAUGU